GUGCUCACUCAGCAGCACAUACCCACAAAACCUGGACAAUACAGAGAAGAAUACUAUGGCCCCUGCACAAGGAUGACAUUACUUAUUGGACAUCUCAUAUUG